UACUCUCACACUUCCGAUCUUGCAUUGGGAGCGGUGGACUUGGGUUUGCUGCCUUACCGUAGCUUACCUCAAAUGUGUUAGUGCAACUCUUGGUUGGACAUAGUACGGCGUGAUAAGUAUCUUCGCCGGUGCCUCGCAAUUGCGAGGGUGGCCGAUCGGGAUGUUGUGCUCCAAACCGUCUUCGGACAAUCUCUGACA
rnacentral:misc_RNA from 1 species